rnacentral:rRNA from 1 species
CCUACGGGUGGCAGCAGUGGGGAAUAUUGCACAAUGGGGGAAACCCUGAUGCAGCGACGCCGCGUGAGUGAAGAAGUAAUUCGUUACGUAAAGCUCUAUCAGCAGGGACGAUAAUGACGGUACCUGAGUAAGAAGCCCCGGCUAACUACGUGCCAGCAGCCGCGGUAAUACGUAGGGGGCAAGCGUUAUCCGGAUUUACUGGGUGUAAAGGGCGCGUAGACGGGGGGGCAAGUCUGGAGUGAAAUGCCGGAGCUUAACUGCGGAACUGCUUUGGAAACUGGCGAACUAGAGUGCGGGAGGGGUAAGCGGAAUUCCUAGUGUAGCGGUGAAAUGCGUAGAUAUAAGGAGGAACACCGGUGGCGAAGGCGGCCUACUGGACAGUAACUGACGUUGAGGCUCGAAAGCGUGGGGAGCAAACAGGAUUAGAUACCCCUGUAGUC